CAUUGAAACACUGGGUCCCAUAUGAUCACUGAAAUUAAGCAACAUCUAGCCUGGUCAGUACCAAGAUGGAUGACAACUUAAGAAUAUCUGGUGCUGUAAG